AUACGAAGGGUGCAAGCGUUAAUCGGAAUUACUGGGCGUAAAGCGCGCGUAGGUGGUUCGUUAAGUUGGAUGUGAAAGCCCCGGGCUCAACCUGGGAACUGCAUCCAAAACUGGCGAGCUAGAGUAUGGCAGAGGGUGGUGGAAUUUCCUGUGUAGCGGUGAAAUGCGUAGAUAUAGGAAGGAACACCAGUGGCGAAGGCGACCACCUGGGCUAAAACUGACACGGGGGUGCAAAAGCGUGGGGAGCAAACAGGAUUAGAUACCCUGGUAUUCCACGCCGUAAACGAUGUCGACUAGCCGUUGGGAUCCUUGAGAUCUUAGUGGCGCAGCUAACGCAUUAAGUCGACCGCCUGGGGAGUACGGCCGCAAGGUUAAAACUCAAAUGAAUUGACGGGG
rnacentral:rRNA from 1 species